rnacentral:rRNA from 1 species
AACGAACGCUGGCGGCAUGCCUAACACAUGCAGGUCGAACGAGAUCUUCGGGUCUAGUGGCGCACGGGUGCGUAACGCGUAGGAAUCUGCCCUUUGGUUCGGAAUAACAGUUGGAACGACUGCUAAUACCGGAUGAUGACGAAAGUCCAAAGAUUUAUCGCCAGAGGAUGAGCCCGCGUAGGAUUAGCUAGUUGGUGUGGUAAAGGCGCACCAAGGCGACGAUCCUUAGCUGGUCUGAGAGGAUGAUCAGCCACACUGGGACUGAGACACGGCCCAGACUCCUACGGGAGGCAGCAGUGGGGAAUAUUGGACAAUGGGCGAAAGCCUGAUCCAGCAAUGCCGCGUGAGUGAUGAAGGCCUUAGGGUUGUAAAGCUCUUUUACCCGGGAUGAUAAUGACAGUACCGGGAGAAUAAGCUCCGGCUAACUCCGUGCCAGCCGCCGCGGUAA